rnacentral:tRNA from 1 species
ACACCGGGGAGAGGUCAGUUCGAGCAGCGGACUUCUCAUCCGCAGGUUGUCGGUUCGAGUCCUACCGGGUGUGCCA